UACGUAGGGGGCAAGCGUUGUCCGGAUUUAUUGGGCGUAAAGAGCGUGUAGGCGGCCAGGUAGGUCCGUUGUGAAAACUCGAGGCUCAACCUCGAGCUGUCGGCGGAAACCAUCUGGCUAGAGUCCGGAAGAGGAGAGUGGAAUUCCUGGUGUAGCGGUGAAAUGCGCAGAUAUCAGGAAGAACACCUAUGGCGAAGGCAGCUCUCUGGAACGGUACUGACGCUGAGGCGCGAAAGCGUGGGGAGCGAACAGG
rnacentral:rRNA from 1 species